CUGGCUCAGAUUGAACGCUGGCGGCAGGCUUAACACAUGCAAGUCGAGCGGGGGAAGGUAGCUUGCUACUGGACCUAGCGGCGGACGGGUGAGUAAUGCUUAGGAAUCUGCCUAUUAGUGGGGGACAACAUCUCGAAAGGGAUGCUAAUACCGCAUACGUCCUACGGGAGAAAGCAGGGGAUCUUCGGACCUUGCGCUAAUAGAUGAGCCUAAGUCGGAUUAGCUAGUUGGUGGGGUAAAGGCCUACCAAGGCGACGAUCUGUAGCGGGUCUGAGAGGAUGAUCCGCCACACUGGGACUGAGACACGGCCCAGACUCCUACGGGAGGCAGCAGUGGGGAAUAUUGGACAAUGGGGGGAACCCUGAUCCAAGCCAUGCCGCGUGUGUGAAGAAGGCCUUAUGGUUGUAAAGCACUUUAAGCGAGGAGGAGGCUACUUUAGUUAAUACCUAGAGAUAGUGGACGUUACUCGCAGAAUAAGCACACCGGCUAACUCUGUGCCAGCAGCCGCGGUAAUACAGAGGGUGCGAGCGUUAAUCGGAUUUACUGGGCGUAAAGCGUGCGUAGGCGGCUUAUUAAGUCGGAUGUGAAAUCCCCGAGCUUAACUUGGGAAUUGCAUUCGAUACUGGUGAGCUAGAGUAUGGGAGAGGAUGGUAGAAUUCCAGGUGUAGCGGUGAAAUGCGUAGAGAUCUGGAGGAAUACCGAUGGCGAAGGCAGCCAUCUGGCCUAAUACUGACGCUGAGGUACGAAAGCAUGGGGAGCAAACAGGAUUAGAUACCCUGGUAGUCCAUGCCGUAAACGAUGUCUACUAGCCGUUGGGGCCUUUGAGGCUUUAGUGGCGCAGCUAACGCGAUAAGUAGACCGCCUGGGGAGUACGGUCGCAAGACUAAAACUCAAAUGAAUUGACGGGGGCCCGCACAAGCGGUGGAGCAUGUGGUUUAAUUCGAUGCAACGCGAAGAACCUUACCUGGCCUUGACAUACUAGAAAC
rnacentral:rRNA from 1 species